AUUGAACGCUGGCGGCAUGCUUUACACAUGCAAGUCGAACGGCAGCGCGGGCUUCGGCCUGGCGGCGAGUGGCGAACGGGUGAGUAAUGCAUCGGAACGUGCCCAGUAGUGGGGGAUAGCCCGGCGAAAGCCGGAUUAAUACCGCAUAAGACCUGAGGGUGAAAGCGGGGGACCGAAAGGCCUUGCGCCAUUGGAGGGGCCGAUGUCGGAUUAGCUAGUUGGUGGGGUAAAGGCUUACCAAGGCGACGAUCCGUAGCUGGUCUGAGAGGACGACCAGCCACACUGGAACUGAGACACGGCCCAGACUCCUACGGGAGGCAGCAGUGGGGAAUUUUGGACAAUGGGGGCAACCCUGAUCCAGCCAUGCCGCGUGCGGGAAGAAGGCCUUCGGGUUGUAAACCGCUUUUGUUCGGGAAGAAAUCCUCUGGGCUAAUACCCCGGGGGGAUGACGGUACCGGAAGAAUAAGCACCGGCUAACUACGUG
rnacentral:rRNA from 1 species